GAUGGACGCUGGCGGCGUGCCUAAUACAUGCAAGUCGAGCGAACAGACGAGGAGCUUGCUCCUCUGACGUUAGCGGCGGACGGGUGAGUAACACGUGGAUAACCUACCUAUAAGACUGGGAUAACUUCGGGAAACCGGAGCUAAUACCGGAUAAUAUAUUGAACCGCAUGGUUCAAUAGUGAAAGACGGUUUUGCUGUCACUUAUAGAUGGAUCCGCGCCGCAUUAGCUAGUUGGUAAGGUAACGGCUUACCAAGGCAACGAUGCGUAGCCGACCUGAGAGGGUGAUCGGCCACACUGGAACUGAGACACGGUCCAGACUCCUACGGGAGGCAGCAGUAGGGAAUCUUCCGCAAUGGGCGAAAGCUUGACGGAGCAACGCCGCGUGAGUGAUGAAGGUCUUCGGAUCGUAAAACUCUGUUAUUAGGGAAGAACAAAUGUGUAAGUAACUAUGCACGUCUUGACGGUACCUAAUCAGAAAGCCACGGCUAACUACGUG
rnacentral:rRNA from 1 species